CCGGCGACCGGCGCACGGGUGAGUAACACGUAUGCAACCUGCCCUCCGCAGGGGGAUAACCCGGAGAAAUCCGGACUAAUACCGCGUGGUACACCAGUGGGGCAUCCCACUGGUGUUAAAAGGAAGUGAUUCCGGCGGAGGAUGGGCAUGCGGCGCAUUAGGCAGUAGGCGGGGUAACGGCCCACCUAACCGACGAUGCGUAGGGGUUCUGAGAGGAAGGUCCCCCACAUUGGAACUGAGACACGGUCCAAACUCCUACGGAAGGCAGCAG
rnacentral:rRNA from 1 species